UUCGAGUUCUCAUUGCCAAAGAGACAAUUUGUAUGGCAGGUGGAGCAAAAACAUUUUUGUUUAAGUACUUCUUGGCAGAUGUGUAAUUAGAGGGCAGUAGGAAAUUUCUUGGCGAAGGAAUUUAUUUGCUUCAAAAAACUACGUUUAUUUCUGAAAACUGAAAUUAAUGUAUCUCUGGGUGCGGACGAACAGAAAUUAAGAACUACUUCAAAAGGAAGUUAUGCCCGAGAAUUCGAGAACUACGGGAACCUGCAAUUGAUGAGCAAAUUUUGUUAGCAAGGAACAUUUUAUUUUUGUGUGUUAUAAUUGUCUCCAAAGAAACAAAACAUUAAUAAAAAGUAGUAUGAACUUU